AGCCUUCAAGGCUCUCAUUGCUGCUCAGUACAGUGGGGCCCAGGUCCGCGUGCUCUCCGCACCACCCCACUUCCACUUUGGCCAAACCAACCGCACCCCUGAAUUUCUCAGAAAAUUCCCAGCUGGCAAGGUUCCAGCAUUUGAGGGUGAUGACGGAUUCUGUGUGUUUGAGAGCAAUGCCAUCGCCUAUUACGUAAGCAACGAGGACCUGCGGGGAAGUACUCCGGAG